AGUGAACGCUGGCGGUAGGCCUAACGCAUGCAAGUCGAACGGCAGCACAGUGAGAGCUUGCUCUUACGGGUGGCGAGUGGCGGACGGGUGAGGAAUACAUCGGAAUCUACUUUUUCGUGGGGGAUAACGUAGGGAAACUUACGCUAAUACCGCAUACGACCUACGGGUGAAAGCAGGGGAUCUUCGGACCUUGCGCGAUUGAAUGAGCCGAUGUCGGAUUAGCUAGUUGGCGGGGUAAAGGCCCACCAAGGCGACGAUCCGUAGCUGGUCUGAGAGGAUGAUCAGCCACACUGGAACUGAGACACGGUCCAGACUCCUACGGGAGGCAGCAGUGGGGAAUAUUGGACAAUGGGCGCAAGCCUGAUCCAGCCAUACCGCGUGGGUGAAGAAGGCCUUCGGGUUGUAAAGCCCUUUUGUUGGGAAAGAAAAGCAGCAGGUUAAUACCCCGCUGUUCUGACGGUACCCAAAGAAUAAGCACCGGCUAACUUCGUG
rnacentral:rRNA from 1 species